rnacentral:rRNA from 1 species
UACGUAGGGUGCAAGCGUUAAUCGGAAUUACUGGGCGUAAAGCGUGCGCAGGCGGUUUUGUAAGUUUGUCGUGAAAGCCCCGGGCUCAACCUGGGAAUUGCGAUGAAGACUGCAAGGCUUGAAUCUGGCAGAGGGGGGGGUAGAAUUCCACGUGUAGCAGUGAAAUGCGUAGAGAUGUGGAGGAACACCGAUGGCGAAGGCAGCCCCCUGGGUCAAGAUUGACGCUCAUGCACGAAAGCGUGGGGAGCAAACAGG